UGGAUUGCUUAAAGCCUGGUGUACGUUGAAGCCUUUGAAUUAAUCAGCUAAUAUAUUUACCUUUUCUAUAAGAAUGACAACCACUAUUUCUUCUUUGCAACUGCUCGCUAAUUGACACCAGUGGAGAUGAGCUGAACGUUACGGAUAACGUUAUGAUCACGUGGCUUCUGUGCUUUCCCGACUCUGCCAUUUCCCUCCAGGGAAAACUUGACAUGCCUGAGAUCCCUGCUUCCUUGCCUUUAUUGUGCUUGGCAAAACUGGCCUUGUGUUCACACAGUGAGGUGGAAAGGACAUGGUGUUUUCCUGAGAUACCGGCAGCCAGACAUAAGAACGCACAUGAGAUUAAAAGCAGCUGUCCAGAAAGUUCCUGA
rnacentral:lncRNA from 1 species